AAGGGGAGGAGGUUUUAGGUUUACCUGGAAGUGCGAGUUGAAGAUGAUUGUUGAGGAAAACCGGAGGUGAGAUGAAGGUGUGUUGUGCGUUGCUGCGAGGAAGAUUAUCGAGAUACGAAGCUGAUAACCAUUGAUGAAAAUAUUCUUGUUCGAUGAAGAUUGAAGGAUGAAGAGAUUUGGUUGAGGAUUAUCGAGGCAUCAGAGUGAUGAAGUAGAUGCAGGUUGAAGAAGAUGGGAUUGAAGAAGAUGGGGAUUGAGUGAGUGAAGAUUGAAGAGCAUUGGAAUGGGGAGUGGAGGAAGUGGUGAGAUGAAGAUGAUGAUGAACGAAGGUGAGAAAUGGUGAAGAAUAGUGGAGAUUCUGAAAAAUGGAGAGUGAAGUGAAGAAGAUGAUGAGAAAAAUGGUGGGAGAAGAAGAGUGGUGAAGUGAUGAUUAUGGUGUCUAGAUAAAGGGAAAGAAGAUAAAGUGGAGGAGAAGUGUGAUAAUGGUGGAGAUGUUGAUUUAUAUAGAGUUUGAAGGAUCUGACUUCAGAUAGAGGAGAGGAAGAGAUACAGUUGAGUGUUGAUUGAACAUAAAUUUGGAACUCAAAGAAGGACAUGGAAUGACAUGAUGAUGUGUAGACACAAGGCAGCCUAGAAUUAAUGAAAUAAUGAAGGUCAAAAUGAAGCUAGAGUGGAAUGGGCUCGUAUUAGAUUUUAUACGGAUUACGGUAUCGUAAUAGAAUGUGAAUCUUGGCCAUUGCUAGUGACACGAAUCAAGUAUAAAAUGGAUUUGAUGUUAAGUUGAAACACUUUUCUUGAAAGUUAAACUGAUUUGGUCAAACUUAGGAGUCAAAGGUCAAUUGUUGUGAAUUUGUAUUUUCUUCUUGUAA